AUUGAACGCUGGCGGCAUGCCUUACACAUGCAAGUCGAACGGCAGCGGACCUUCGGGCGCCGGCGAGUGGCGAACGGGUGAGUAAUAUAUCGGAACGUACCUUUCAGUGGGGGAUAACGUAGCGAAAGUUACGCUAAUACCGCAUAUUCUGUGAGCAGGAAAGCAGGGGAUCGCAAGACCUUGCGCUGAUUGAGCGGCCGAUAUCAGAUUAGCUAGUUGGUGAGGUAAAGGCUCACCAAGGCGACGAUCUGUAGCGGGUCUGAGAGGAUGAUCCGCCACACUGGAACUGAGACACGGUCCAGACUCCUACGGGAGGCAGCAGUGGGGAAUUUUGGACAAUGGGCGCAAGCUUGAUCCAGCCAUGCCGCGUGAGUGAAGAAGGCCUCGGUUGUAAG
rnacentral:rRNA from 1 species